CCUACGGGGUGCAGCAGUGAGGAAUAUUGGUCAAUGGACGAGAGUCUGAACCAGCCAAGUAGCGUGAAGGCUGACUGCCCUAUGGGUUGUAAACUUCCUUUAUAUGGGAAUAAAAUGUUCCACGUGUGGGAUUUUGUAUGUACCAUAUGAAUAAGGAUCGGCUAACUCCGUGCCAGCAGCCGCGGUAAUACGGAGGAUCCGAGCGUUAUCCGGAUUUAUUGGGUUUAAAGGGAGCGUAGGUGGAUUGUUAAGUCAGUUGUGAAAGUUUGCGGCUCAACCGUAAAAUUGCAGUUGAAACUGGCAGUCUUGAGUACAGUAGAGGUGGGCGGAAUUCGUGGUGUAGCGGUGAAAUGCUUAGAUAUCACGAAGAACUCCGAUUGCGAAGGCAGUUCACUGGACUGCAACUGACACUGAGGCUCGAAAGUGUGGGUAUCAAACAGGAUUAGAUACCCUAGUAGUC
rnacentral:rRNA from 1 species